rnacentral:rRNA from 1 species
UACGUAGGGUGCGAGCGUUAAUCGGAAUUACUGGGCGUAAAGCGUGCGCAGGCGGUUCGUGAUGUCUGAUGUGAAAGCCCCGGGCUCAACCUGGGAACUGCAUUGGAAACUAGCGGGCUGGAGUGUGGCAGAGGGGGGUGGAAUUCCACGUGUAGCAGUGAAAUGCGUAGAGAUGUGGAGGAACACCGAUGGCGAAGGCAGCCCCCCUGGGCUAACACUGACGCUCAUGCACGAAAGCGUGGGGAGCAAACAGG